rnacentral:tRNA from 1 species
GGCAUGGUGUAGUGGUUUGAGCAUAAGACUAGGACUCUGAAAAUCAGGGUUUGAUUCCCUGCUUGGCCA